GCCUGGCUGGCUUAGUCGGAAGAACAUGAGACUCUUGAUCUCAGGGUCGAGAGUUCAAACCCCAUGUUGGGUG
rnacentral:tRNA from 1 species